CUCUUAGGGAUCUGUCAAGCCAAUGGAAUUGACAACCAGGAUUAUCCAUCACAGAAAUGAAAUUUCGAAAGGAAUUCUGGACAAUUUCGUACACUCUGUACUUUGAAAGAAAGAAGUAGCUUAUCAGAAUAAGCUGCUCUGGAACCAUAAGGAGAGGGGAUGCCUGGUGGUCCCAGGCCUGGAGCUCAGGGCCAGAGUGGAUGCUCCACAAGGACAGGAAACCCUUCCACCCACAGAGACUUCACCCCAUUCUUAUCACCAGCCCCCAUCUGUUGAAGUACAAGAAAUUCCCCGAAGAGAUUCUGGAGACUAGGACUGACAUCCAAAGCAAGGCCUUUAGAAUAAAGGAUUAA
rnacentral:lncRNA from 1 species